UGGGGAAUAUUGCACAAUGGGCGCAAGCCUGAUGCAGCCAUGCCGCGUGUAUGAAGAAGGACUUCGGGUUGUAAAGUACUUUCAGCGGGGAGGAAGGCGAUAAGGUUAAUAACCUUGUCGAUUGACGUUACCCGCAGAAGAAGCACCGGCUAACUCCGUGCCAGCAGCCGCGGUAAUACGGAGGGUGCAAGCGUUAAUCGGAAUUACUGGGCGUAAAGCGCACGCAGGCGGUCUGUCAAGUCGGAUGUGAAAUCCCCGGGCUCAACCUGGGAACUGCAUUCGAAACUGGCAGGCUAGAGUCUUGUAGAGGGGGGUAGAAUUCCAGGUGUAGCGGUGAAAUGCGUAGAGAUCUGGAGGAAUACCGGUGGCGAAGGCGGCCCCCUGGACAAAGACUGACGCUCAGGUGCGAAAGCGUGGGGAGCAAACA
rnacentral:rRNA from 1 species